rfam:Ipomoea nil DNA, scaffold: scaffold3210, cultivar: Tokyo-kokei standard.
GAUGGUCUGGCCGAGAGCUCUAAGGCGCCAGAUUUAGGCUCUGGUCCGAAAGGGCGUGGGUUCAAAUCCCACAAUGUUUA